rnacentral:rRNA from 1 species
CCUACGGGGGGCUGCAGUGGGGAAUAUUGGACAAUGGGCGAAAGCCUGAUCCAGCCAUGCCGCGUGUGUGAAGAAGGCCUUCGGGUUGUAAAGCACUUUCAGUGGGGAAGAAAGCCUUGGGGCUAAUACCCUCGAGGAAGGACAUCACCCACAGAAGAAGCACCGGCUAACUCCGUGCCAGCAGCCGCGGUAAUACGGAGGGUGCGAGCGUUAAUCGGAAUUACUGGGCGUAAAGCGCGCGUAGGCGGUCUGAUAAGCCGGUUGUGAAAGCCCCGGGCUCAACCUGGGAACGGCAUCCGGAACUGGCAGGCUAGAGUGCAGGAGAGGAAGGUAGAAUUCCCGGUGGAGCGGUGAAAUGCGUAGAGAUCGGGAGGAAUACCAGUGGCGAAGGCGGCCUUCUGGACUGACACUGACGCUGAGGUGCGAAAGCGUGGGUAGCAAACAGGAUUAGAUACCCCGGUAGUC